rnacentral:misc_RNA from 1 species
AACGCACAUUGCGCCCUCCGGCAUUCCGGGGGGCACACCUGUUCGAGCGCCAUUUCAACCCUCAAGCUCCGCUUGGUGUUGGGCGGGUCCCGCGAAGGGUCCCGCCCGAAAGUGCUAGGCGCCGCCGCCCGACCGCCCGCGUAGCAGGCUCGGUGAGCACGCGCGGGAGGCGCCCGGCGGCCGCCCGUACCUCCAUCAAGGUUGGCCUCGGAUCAGGUGGGGAUACCCGCUGAACUUAA